GAUGAACGCUAGCGGCAGGCCUAAUACAUGCAAGUCGGACGGGAUUUGGGAGCUUGCUCCUAAUGAGAGUGGCGCACGGGUGCGUAACACGUAUGUAACCUACCUUAAUCAGGGGGAUAGCCUCUCGAAAGAGAGAUUAACACCGCAUAAUAUAUUUUUAUGGCAUCGUAGAAAUAUCAAAUAUUUAUAGGAUUAAGAUGGGCAUGCGGAACAUUAGCUAGUUGGUAAGGUAACGGCUUACCAAGGCUACGAUGUUUAGGGGAUCUGAGAGGAUGACCCCCCACACUGGUACUGAGACACGGACCAGACUCCUACGGGAGGCAGCAGUAAGGAAUAUUGGUCAAUGGGCGCAAGCCUGAACCAGCCAUGCCGCGUGCAGGAAGACGGCCCUAUGGGUUGUAAACUGCUUUUGUACCGGAAUAAACCCUUUUACGUGUAGAAGGCUGAAUGUACGGUAAGAAUAAGGAUCGGCUAACUCCGUGCCAGCAGCCGCCGCGG
rnacentral:rRNA from 1 species